rnacentral:lncRNA from 1 species
GACAGAUAUCCUGAACGUUCCUUCUCUAUUUUCUGAAUCUAGAGGGAGACUGUUAACCAGCAAGCUCUCCAAUAUUACCAACACUAGGAGUUGCAAGUGCACUGUCUCAGUGUUUUUAUGUACAUACUGAGGAUUCAAAAUGGGGUCCUUGUGCUUCUUCAGCAAGUACUCUUACUGACUGUGCUAUCUUAACCAGAGGGGUGGGUGGAGGAGAAUGAGAACAUGUGUACCAGUCUGUAUGUGUGUACACGAUAAUUAAGUUUUUGUUUUUUUUUUUUUUUUUUUUUUAAUUGACUCUUAACUUUUUUUUGGGUCACCUUUAGCUAGUUCUCAUCACAGUGUAGUGAUGUCUGCGCCCCCUCCCCCCCAAUUGAACUGAAAGUCUUGUAAUAGAAUGCCAGAAGAAUUUGUUGUUGUAGGUCAUUCAGUGGUGCACCCACCACAAGGAUGACCCUCCUCCUCCUGAGGAUGAUGAGAACAAAGAGAAGCGGACAGAUGAUAUUCCUGUUUGGGACCAAGAAUUCCUGAAAGUUGACCAAGGAACACUUUUUGAACUUAUUCUGGCUGCAAACUACUUAGACAUCAAAGGUUUGCUUGAUGUCACCUGCAAGACUGUGGCUAAUAUGAUUAAGGGGAAAACGCCUGAGGAGAUUCGUAAAACCUUCAAUAUCAAAAAUGACUUUACUGAAGAGGAGGAGGCCCAGGUACGCAAAGAGAACCAGUGGUGUGAAGAGAA